GAUGAACGCUGGCGGCGUGCCUAACACAUGCAAGUCGAACGAAUUACUUUAAAGGAAGUUUUCGGAUGGAAUUUAAAGUAGUUAGUGGCGGACGGGUGAGUAACGCGUGGGAAACCUGCCCUAUACAGGGGGAUAGCCUCGGGAAACUGGGAUUAAUACCCCAUAAAACUCUAGUAUCGCAUGAUACAUGAGCCAAAGAUUUAUCGGUAUAGGAUGGUCCCGCGUCUGAUUAGCUAGUUGGUGAGGUAACGGCUCACCAAGGCGACGAUCAGUAGCCGGCCUGAGAGGGUGAACGGCCACACUGGAACUGAGACACGGUCCAGACUCCUACGGGAGGCAGCAGUGGGGAAUAUUGCACAAUGGGGGAAACCCUGAUGCAGCGACGCCGCGUGAGCGAAGAAGGCCUUCGGGUCGUAAAGCUCUGUCCUAAGGGAAGAAACGGACGGUACCUUAGGAGGAAGCCCGGCUAACUACGUGCCAGCAGCCGCGGUAAAAUCACGUAUA
rnacentral:rRNA from 1 species